rnacentral:rRNA from 1 species
GAUGAACGCUGGCGGCGUGCUUAACACAUGCAAGUCGAACGGAAAGGCUCCUGCUUGCCGGGGUUCUCGAGUGGCGAACGGGUGAGUAACACGUGGGUGAUCUGCCCUGCACUUCGGGAUAAGCCUGGGAAACUGGGUCUAAUACCGGAUAGGACGAUGGUUUGGAUGCCAUUGUGGAAAGUUUUUCGGUGUGGGAUGAGCUCGCGGCCUAUCAGCUUGUUGGUGGGGUAAUGGCCUACCAAGGCGUAGACGGGUAGCCGGCCUGAGAGGGGGGACGGCCACAUUGGGACUGAGAGACGGCCCAGACGCCUACGGGAGGCAGCAGUGGGGAAUAUUGCACAAUGGGCGCAAGCCUGAUGCAGCGACGCCGCGUGGGGGAUGACGGCCUUCGGGUUGUAAACUCCUUUCGCUAGGGACGAAGCGCAAGUGACGGUACCUGGAGAAGAAGCACCGGCUAACUACGUG